rnacentral:rRNA from 1 species
CCUACGGGAGGCAGCAGUGAGGAAUAUUGCGCAAUGGGCGAAAGCCUGACGCAGCGACGCCGCGUGGGGGAUGAAGGUCUUCGGAUUGUAAACCCCUUUCGGGAGGGAAGAUGGGACGAGCAAUCGUUCGGACGGUACCUCCAGAAGCAGCCACGGCUAACUUCGUGCCAGCAGCCGCGGUAAU